rnacentral:rRNA from 1 species
UACGUAGGGGGCUAGCGUUGUCCGGAAUCAUUGGGCGUAAAGCGCGUGUAGGCGGUCCGGUAAGUCCGCUGUGAAAGUCGGGGGCUCAACCCUCGAAUGCCGGUGGAUACUGUCGGGCUUGAGUUCGGGAGAGGGAAGCGGAAUUCCGGGUGUAGCGGUGAAAUGCGUAGAUAUCCGGAGGAACACCGGUGGCGAAGGCGGCUUCCUGGACCGACACUGACGCUGAGGCGCGAAAGCUAGGGGAGCAAACGGG